AUGGGGAUUCUGCUCCUCCGAUUGGGAUGCCGCUCCCCAAGAUUGGGAUUCCGCUCCCUGGAUGGGGAUGUUGCUCCUUGGAUUGCAACGCUGCUCUCCGGACAAGGGUUGGACUCCCCAGGAGGGGAAGCUGAGGCUUGGGCUGGGGACACUGCCUGGGGUUCUGGGCUGCUCCUGCUCCUCAGGACUGCGUUGCUGUCAGGGCUACGUGGCUGCAGGUCAGCUGGGCUCAGCCCCUGCAGUGGCCGGAGUGGCCAUGUGGGGCUCAGGGCAGCGCCGAGGCUCCAGCCCCUGCUGACCCCUUUCUGCCCUGUGCCUCAACAGGGAUGGGAGAUGGGCACAGACUGCCUGCGAGGCAUGUGGGGUACCCCUGUGUCACCCGUGGGGCACCUCUGCAUUACUGGCAGCAAGCGGGGUCGGUGUCCUCCACUGCACCGAGCUGUGCCAGGUCUCGGAGCCCAACCUGCAGAAGCCAGGGGCAUCUGCCCCAGAGGUCAGGGCGAGCCAGCCCAGGGAAGAGCGUGGACUCAGGGGCUGUGGACAUGGCUCCUUGAGGGCGCAACCCCGGCACUUGGUGGCUUAAUGCCAAGCAGGGAGCUGUGCGGGGAGGUGCGAGGCCAGCUCCGCCGAGGGCUCGGCUGCCGGCUCCUGGCAUCCUCCCUGGCAUCCUCCCUAGCAUCCCUACCCGCAGCCAGCUACCUGCCAUCUCUGCCUGCAGCAUGCCCUUACAAGGGCACAGGCACGGCUCCCACCGCAGUCCUGCUUCGCCUGCGGUCCUCCCCGGCACCAGGACCCGCCAUGCCGAGGCCACCCCAUGGCACCACAUGGCGUGGCCACCCUGCCAUGCCACGGCCACAGUGCUGUGCCAUGGCCACCCAGCCCUGCCACUGUCACCCUGCCACCUGGACCCCUCUGCUCUGUAGCCCCCAUGGGGGCAGCAUGGCUGCUCCGGCUGGAAGGCACAGCUGUGCCAGGGAUGUUCAUGCCGGCCAAGAGCCAGUGGGCAGCUAA
rnacentral:lncRNA from 1 species